rnacentral:rRNA from 1 species
UAGGGAAUAUUGGACAAUGGGUGAGAGCCUGAUCCAGCCAUGCCGCGUGCAGGAAGAAGGCCUUCUGGGUUGUAAACUGCUUUUGCCAGGGGAUAAAAGACCCUUGCGAGGGAAAUUGAAGGUACCUGGUGAAUAAGCCACGGCUAACUACGUGCCAGCAGCCGCGGUAAUACGUAGGUGGCAAGCGUUGUCCGGAUUUAUUGGGUUUAAAGGGUGCGUAGGCGGUUCUUUAAGUCAGUGGUGAAAUACAGCCGCUUAACGGUUGAGGUGCCAUUGAUACUGGGGAACUUGAGUACAGACGAGGUAGGCGGAAUUGACGGUGUAGCGGUGAAAUGCAUAGAUAUCGUCAAGAACACCGAUAGCGAAGGCAGCUUACUAGACUGUAACUGACGCUGAUGCACGAAAGUGUGGGGAUCAAACAGGAUUAGAUACCCCCGUAGUCC